rnacentral:lncRNA from 1 species
UAGACUUUCUCAGACAGAUUUCUUUUAACUCUUCUGCCCUGACUCCAGUCUUCACUGAGAUGCUGCCUUGCACUUAGGGAAGGUUCACAUGCCUCAGGGAUCUCUCUCUCUCAGAUUUCUUGACUUUCCCUCAGUCUUCAGUAUAGUCCUCCUCUGUGCCUGGUGAAGACCUGUGGUAAAGUGCUGGCAGAGAGGAAGCUAAAUCACGUAAAAGUUAAGAAACAGCUCAGCGUUUCACAGCUAGUAAGUAACAGAGAUGGGCUUGAGACCCAGAUUCGCAGGAUCCGGGUCUUGUGCUCAUCACGACUCUGCUAUGGUGCCUCCCUUGAAAGCAUCUUAGUGCUUUCAUUGUUGUUUUUGUUAUUGUUAUUCUUCUAUUAUUUUGUACCCCCUUGGUGGAUAGUGGCUGUGAAUUUGUAGUUGUUGGUGUGUUUCUUCUGGAGCUUAAGC